AUCCAGCUGACGCCUCCCAAAUAGGACGAAACGCGCGUGCUGGAU
rfam:Schistosoma mansoni, Puerto Rico, WGS project CABG01000000 data, contig: 0013